UACGAAGGGGCUAGCGUUGCUCGGAAUCACUGGGCGUAAAGGGUGCGUAGGCGGGUCUUUAAGUCAGGGGUGAAAUUCUGGAGCUCAACUCCAGAACUGCCUUUGAUACUGAAGAUCUUGAGUUCGGGAGAGGUGAGUGGAACUGCGAGUGUAGAGGUGAAAUUCGUAGAUAUUCGCAAGAACACCAGUGGCGAAGGCGGCUCACUGGCCCGAUACCG
rnacentral:rRNA from 1 species